GCUGGAUACAAACAUUGACUGGUUUAUCUUCCCAACAUGGGUACCAGGACAUUGGAUGAUUUGUAAAUAUUGCACAGAUCAUUUCUCCUGGGCCUUGGCAUGAAUACUGUGUCAACGAUAUGGGCCUUCCACGACAACAUUUAAGCAACAACUGUGGCAUUUUUGUCCUUAUG